CUUCCCUCCAAGAACUUCCCACCUUGCUCUUGGGGAGACUCGAACUCACAACCUCUCGAUUGGGAGUGAGGAAUGUAUAUUAUAUGCAAAAAUGUAUAUAAAUAUUGUAUAUAAAGGGAAGUAAACUUGAAAAAAAUACUCUAAAUUCCGAAAGAAAUGUAUAUUGUAUGCAAAAUGAGGUGGGAUCCAAUUUUUUUAGGUCAUUUAUAUGCUAGGAAAAGCUACAUACAUCAGAAAUUUAUUCGACAUAAUACAUACAGUCUAAUAUAUUUGACUAGAUACGAGGAUUAAUUAAAAAAAAUAGAAGGUUUUUGACGCACGUGAUAAAUAUGCAUUAAGGACCAAAUAUACCAUUUGUACCAAAAUACUUGUAGCUUUAUCAUUUGGGUCCAUAAUAAAGGCAAAAUAUAUAUAUAAACAACCUAACUGAAAUACACAAAGCAGAAAAGAGUGACAAACAAAUUGAAACGAGAAAAAUAUUGUUAUAAAAAGAAAAAAGAAGCUAGUAUUAUAACAUAAUUUUUUGCGACCAAUGUCAUCAACCAACUAGUGACGAAAUUGUACAAUAUUUGUCCGUCGCUAAAGUUCAUUUUUUUUAAAGUAAUAAAACUAUCUUUACAUAUUCAGACAUGUCUAUGUUGUAAAGCAAACCUUGCACCCCACUUCACUCUUAUCAUCCAUUUUUUAGCUUUCAAGUAUAUACAUUAUUUGCAGUUCAAGCUGAACAUUUGGCAAAAAACCUUGCAUUCUUACCUGGAACUUAAAUCCCAUUAUUUUUCCAAACACUAUGUAAAUAAAAUAAUUUUUAAAAAAAAAGAAAGGAAAAGGAAAAAAAUAAGAAAAGGGAAGGGUAAAAGAAAUGCUAAAAGGAAAGGGAAAGAUGGAGACUAUUGAUGAAAGAAAGGUACUUUUCUAAGUGAUCCCAUGUGAACUUUUCUAGAGAUAUGUGACCUUGUUAUCAUAAAGUAUAGUAUAAAAACUAGACAAUGGUUUUUACCUACUUUUUCCCUAUGCUCUCUCCACCCCUCACUAUCAAUAAAGCCCCUCAUUGUUCACCAAAAAAUCAAUAAUAGUGGAUAAUUUCUUUUUAUCUGCUUAAAACUUGAGGAUAAGAGUUGCAUGAUACUUAUAUGGUAUGAGGUAAUAAAUACUCGAUAAAAUAAUCUAAGUACGUGCAAACGAGUUCAAACACUACUAUUUUUAGCAAUGAUUAUGCUUCAAUUUUGUGCCUAUAUCGCUUUAUUUAACCACGUACAUCUUAGACCAAUACUAAAUAAAUUUAAAUAAAAUAAAAGAAUACUAGAAUAUCUCAAUAUUUUCUAAUGACAUAUAAAUCACUGACAAAUCUUAGGGACACUUAAAAACAUAGGACUUAAAACUAAAUGUACUAACAAGACUAAAAUAUAUUUCAAACUAACUGAAAAUAUGUAUUCAAAAAUCUUUUCUGCUCACAUAUAAAUCUCUCUUAUGAAACCGUCAUUAACUUUUUUUAAAAUAAAAAGGGCCCCUCAUAUAUUAUAACAGUGACAUGUAUUGUUUUUUAGCUAAAAAUUUAACUUCACAUACAAAACAGUUUAAUAAUUCCCUAUCCCCCCCUCCCCACCCCACAAAACCCAAAUCGAUUUGUCUCCACAUCUGGUUACUUAGAUUCCAAGGGUAUUUUAGUAAAAGAGCUAGGUUGUUUUCCUCUAUAAUAUGCAUCAUCAUUCAAUAAGUUGAUUUAUGAGCAAAAAGGCCAGCUCUUUUCUUGCUUUAGUCCUUUUCUUCUUAUGGUUGGUUUGAAACUUGUUCUAUGCUUUUACUACAUCUUCAACUUCAGACAAAGUUCAAAGAAAGCUUGCUGAAAAUAUCAAAGUUCUUCUCUUCUUGAAAAUUUGAAAGCAAAUAUCUUCUCUCAGUUUCAAGAAUCUGAGGCAAUUCUAAGGUGAAAGGUUGGAUUUUUAGUUUUUUUUUGGUUAUAUAAAUGUAAAGAUGAAAUCUUUGAGCAGUGUUGGACUUGUUUUAAGUAUGGUAUUUGGUUGUCUUUUAUUAGCUCUUAUUGCUGAGCUUUACUACUUAUUAUGGUGGAAAAAUAGGAUUGUUAAAACAAGUCUUGAAGAUGGUUAUAGUAGCAAUAAAGCAAAAGAAUUCUUUUGUAUGUUUUGUAUUAAGCCCUCAACUUCUUUAAACUCCAAUAUUGCCUUAAAAUCCCAAGAAAUUUGUGCCAAUGAUACACAACUAGUCCAUGAACCAACAAUCCAAGUUCAAUCCAAUGUCGAGUCAAAUAGUACUCAGUGGAGAGGUCAACCAGUCGAGGAGGCGACUGAUUUUUGGUUCAAACCCUUUGGAGAUGAUAACAUGGAAAAUGAAUUUAUAGGACUUUGUGGGCCACCAAGAUUUUUAUUUACUAUCAAAGAGGAAACUAGAGAAGAUCUGGAAUCUGAAGAUGGAAAAUCUAAGGGUGAAAAGAGUAGAAAAGGAUCAAGAACUAGGAGUUUAAGUGAUUUAUGUCUAAAUAUGGAAACUCCUUAUUUAACUCCACUUACUUCACCACCUUAUUUUACUCCUCCUUUAAGUCCUAUGAUGCAUAAAAAUGGAUUCAAUCCUUUUCUUGAAUCAAUAAGUGAUGCUGAGUUUAAUAAAUUUAUAAGGUCUAAUUCACCUCCUCCUACAUUUAAAUUCUUGAGAGAUGCUGAAGACAAAUUUUGUAGAAGGUUUGUGGAGGAAAGUGUAUCAUUUCAAGUUGAAAAUCUUCAAGUUUCAAGUUCAAAGUUGGCCAAAGACAAGGAAAAUGGGCCAUUUAUUACACUCAUUUUCCCUAAGAAUAGAGAAGUACAAUCUGAUCAACAUCAUGUACAACUCUGUCCUUCAAGCUCUUCACAAGUACUUCCUUUGGUUUGAAGCUGCCAAUCCAACAGCUGAACCAAUUACAAGAGUAAAUUUUGUUUCAUUCCCCCCUCCCCCCCAAAUCCCUUUUCCAUUUUGAUUGUAUUAAAAAAGCAAUGACUUAUUUUCUUUGUUUAAUUAGUGUAUGAUUUUAGAGCUCGUUUGCUUACAUCAUCUGACUUUGUGAUUUUAAGGUGAAGUUAAUGAUUAAAGCCUAGUCAUAGUGCAAUCUUGGUGGUAUUUUCUUAAUUCUUUUUUCUCACAAAGCAGGUGAGUGAUGAGUCAUUACUUGGUGCCGGAAAAUUAACCUUCCAAUCAUUUGUAUUUUCUCGAAUAAUUUAAAUAUAGUUGAACACCUGCAAUAUGAUAAAAUAUAGUUAUAUGAUAAAAAAAUCGUUAUAGUGAAUAAAGUUUAGCAACCAUACAAAAGUCUAGGCAUAGUGAGUUUUCUAAAGGGAAAAACAUUCUUUGCAGACUGCAACACUGCAAACAAUGUCCAGAUUCCACUAUGCAUCUGAUACUAGUUGGGAAGUGGUUAUUUUUGGUGGGGUGGGGGGUGAGGUGGUUGGUUUGUUUCUAUUCAAUUUCAGUCUCCUAAGCUGUCCAAGUACAACCUGUAAUCAUUCAAGGAGAUAAUGACUACUGAGAAAAAAAUUGAGAACAUAAAAUAUUUAAUUUACUCUUUUAGAUAUUGAGAAGGGGAUCUUUGUUGCUGUCAUGUGAUAAGAAGCUUAAGGGUUUAAAUUACAAAAAUAAUCUCUGCAAAAUGCAGGAAAAGGCUACCUGCGUUAGACCUUUGUGGUCUAGCUUUUUCCGAACCUCGCGCAUAGCUAGUGCAUCGAAUUGUCUUUUUUACUCUUUUAGAUAUUGAAAGGGCACCAUAGAAGGGAGCCUUGAACUAACCAUAAAAUUUUUUUCACGUGAGAUAUAGGUUACGAGUUUGAGUUGUUAAAGCAGCCAUAAUCCUUAUAUUAUGAUAGACUGUCCAUAUCAUAUCUCUUGAUAUGCGAUUUUUCUGUAAAUUCUGAGUGAACGCAAAAUAUCAUGUGCACCGAAAUAUCAUUAAAAGCCACCAUAAUAUGGAAGUAUAAGUAAAGUUAAUGACUGUAGUCUUGCAGCCCUUUUUUUUCACAUACUGCUUUAAUAAAUUAUCUACAAGUCAUGAUUUCUCAUCUUUUUAUGCAUGCUCUUGAAUUAUGAUGAUCUUUCGCUAAUUUCUUUAACACAUGUAUCUUUUUCAUUUGAAAAUUGAUUGACCCACCACAAAGUAGUUUCUUGAUUUUUUGAUUUGUACACUCUAUUCUUUUACCCAGACAAAGAGAUCAAGAAGAGCAAACCUUCCUUUUUAACUUUCUAGAUUUUCCCACUAGUAAAAAUCUACAAAUUGAAAAUACCUUUUUCUCCCUCUAAACACCAUGGUAUCCAAAAUCAGAUUAUCUGAUUAAUAUGAAAUUGUAUCAAGUACGCCCUCUGAGGCUCAAACUUGAUCCAGACUACAUUUGUGGGAUCAAAUUGGAGUUGUUGUUAUUGUACGCCCUCUGCAGGUUGUAAAAUAUUUCUUAACAAAAAAUUCUCUCAGAAAGCUCAAAUUCAAUACCUUUAAUUAAGGUAGAAAGAUUAAAGUCAGUCUACGCCCCUGGGCGGAAGGUAAGGAAAAACGGAGAGGAGAUUACAUGUGAAGAAACAGAAGCUAACCGACAACGUAAAAAUUCAGAUAGUCAAUCAACUAACUACUAUGAUUCCUCGUAGGAAUACACUAUGAUUCCUCGUAAGAACACGGGCUGACUAAACAAUAAUCUGUAUUAAAUUUGGAAUCGUCGUUUUAUUAAGUUCCUUAUUACUAGUGAUUAUUAUAUAAAGUUGGACUAAAGAAAAAGGUGUACCAACAAAACAUAAUGACAAAAGGACGGAGGAGGAAGAAAGAGAUUAUAACUUGUGUGUAAAGGGUGAUGAAUUGGCAUUUUCAGUAAAGAACAAACUUGUACUCUUGCCCGUGAUAAUAUCUCGUGUUUCCAAACCGAAAGGUAAACCACCUUAAAUAAUCAUUACGUCGAUUUGCCUUUAUACAUUUUUUUUCAUCAUUGAUACACUAUAUAGUAUCAAAUGAAAAUAAAAGGUCAUCUUACCAAAAAAUUUGUAUAAUCUCUUUCUACAUAAAAGUUUUAAAUCUUGAGUAAUAAAGGACAAUUUACAUAUUUGGCCGGUCACCUAAAAUAAUGACAUUUGCUAAUCAAAUAUAUAAAAAAAUUGUAUGAUAUAUGUGUAUAUAUUUUACCGGCUAUUAUUUUUGGCAGCAGUUAUAUUGUGUAGUUUCCCAAUAAUAAAGGUUGAGGAAAUAUGUUUCCAAUAGACUUCUCGAUCUAGAGGUAUAUGAGUCAUACCCUCAUAGAGCAUAAGUAUAACUAGAGGGGCAAUUAAAUUAGAUAAAUAGAGUGCUGAACAUGCCAAAAAGGGGUAAUAUAAAUAAUGGAUUAUAACGCAAUCGCUUCAAAAUUUUAUUCAAAUCAAAAUGGAUUUGACAAAUAAUAUGUUGGAAUUGUUUACGACCUAACAUGCCCGAUUUUGUAGUGGUCAUACUGUCAGUUUCUAAAUAGUAUUUGCACCAUUUCCUAUAGGUUUUUCAGUUUUCUAUUGUUUCUUUGUUGAAAAAAUUUACCUUUGAUAUUACUAUAAGUCUAAUAUCCUGAGCUAUGGAUAUUAUGUUUUUAUGUUUUAGCAAUUACUUAAUUUAGCUUUUCUUUAAGUAUACUUUGCAGUAGUUUCUAUUGAAAAAAGUUAAUACUAGUCUCCGAAAAAGCAAACAAGGUCUAAUAUCUCCUUAAAAAGGACUAUAUUUUGGAAUUAGUCUCCCAAAAAAAAGAGAAUACUUGGAAUCUUUACACAAAUAGCUGAUUACACAGGAUCUUACACAAAUUAUAAAUAAAUUAUACAUAUAUGCCAGCUAUUUUUUUGUUUGAGCAGUUGGGUGAUGGACUAUUUAGGUUAAUUAUUCUAAUACUUUUGAACAUAUAAACCGCUAGCUAACAUUUACUUCCAUACUUCAAGUCAGAAAGCCAGGAUUGACAAAUGUAGUCCCACGUAAUGGGGCAAUGAGGAGCUUAAAAGUGUAAUUAGAAAGUAAAGACACCACAGCUUGAUAAGUUUUUGCCAUAGCUAAAGCAACAUCUGAACAUGCACCACAAGUUUUGCGAUAAAUAUUAACAUUCCUAUUGAACAUGUAUUGAUAUAUAACUGCUAAGCAGUAAUUUCAAGUUUAAAGCUCAACCAAUGAUAAAAAUGCGGACCUAAACAGGUAGAAAAAGUAAAAUAUUGUGACAAGCAUCUCGAAGUAGAAGCUAAAAAAUGCUAAAACAAUUAGGGGAACCGAGCAAAUGUGAUUGAAGAUAACAAAGUGAAAGUAAAGUUAUAUCAUCUAUGUCAAAAAUCAAAAAAACUAUAUUUUUAGCAAAUAGGGUAAACGGUGAAAACAAGUAGGUAGAAAGUAUCAUAAUAACCAAACUUCUAAUUUUUAUCCCCACUCAACCGAGGAGUGGAACUUAAUUAUACCUGCGCAUGGAAACCUUUGCAAUCAUGAGAGGCGAAAUUCGUAGUGGCUGCAGAUGCCCAAAUAACAUUAGGACCAAAGUCUAGUGCAUGUACCAUUUAUUAUACCCAGUUCAACACAAAUUGAACUGAGGCCUGCUUCCCCUAACAGACUAAAUGCACAAAAGCCAUAGUAGGCGUGAUAAAGAUCUGGCAGCUGCUCCGGAAUUUUGCCAAAACCACCAUACUGUAGAACAAAAAAAUGGGGUAUAAAUUUUCGUAACUUAAAGUUCUUCCAGGGAAAUGCCUGAAUUAGGUGGUGAAAAUAUCCAAAAGCAAACCACAACGAUGAUGGUACACAAAUAUUGGCAGUGAAACAGUUUUAACAAUCCAUAGCAAUGAGGUUCCAGUGGUUGAUAAAAGUUCUUGGACAUCAUAAAAUAGGAAGGGCAUACGAGCUCAGACAUUAGAUCUUUAUUAGUCCCAAAGAAAAAGAACAGUUUGGAAGCUCUAGAACUGCAGUUGCAUGUAAAAACAUGUUCAAAGAAGGCAGAAAAGAAAGAGAAGAAUUCAUAGCACCUGGGAUUGACAGGUGAAAAGAAAUUUACGUAAACCUCCAUAAUUGAUGAACUUGUGAGCCCCUAAGAUCUUUAGAACUCCUCCAACCCUGAACAAGGGCAUCAAUUUGUCAAGCCAGAAGAAACAGAAGUGAUGACAGUUGAAGGGAAAAAGCUAUUUGAACUCACCAAAAAGCAUAGCAGGUGUCAGUAGCUUUGUUUGGUCUACCUUGGAAACCACCAUCAGUGGCUUGUCUCUACGAGAAAGAAAGAUUAGAUCGGAGUAGCUUUGUUUGGUCUACCUUGGAAACCACCAUCAGUGGCUUGUCUCUGUGAGAAAGAAAGAUUGAGUCACACCAAUUGCAGGACGGUAGAUCAACAACAACAACGACCCAGUUAAAUCCCACUAGUGAAGUCUGAGGAGGGUAGUGCGUACGCAAACCUUUCCCCUACCCCAGGAGUGUAGAGAGACUGUUUCCGAAAGACCCUCGGCUCAAAGAGGCAAAAAGGACAGUAGAUCAUAUCGACCAUUUAUCAGUCAAAGGACCAGAUAUGAGCGAUGGACUUGUACAAAAAAUCAUCCUUCUUUUUCUUUUGAAAACAAAGUCCUCCUAUAUCCUUAAAUUGUUCCACGUUACAAUUUAUUUGGGUUAUAAUCAUCGCUAAUUUUAAAUUGUAAUAUUUUUUCUUUGGAGGAAUACUGAAAAACAUGUCUAGCAUAGCAAUAUAACAACCUAUCACACACUAUUAGAAGAAAGUAUACCUGUAGACUCCAGUCUAGAAGCAUGGGCACAUUUAUGAAGCAAGAGGAUACACUCUUCGACAAUAUAUCCUCUUCAAUUAAUCCCAUCAAUUUGAGAGAUGCAGCCGCACAAUAAGUGGCACCACCUGUGAUACUAAACAAUCACCAUCUAUGAGAAAUAUCAUAUUACCACGUAACAACAACAACAACAACCCAGACACUACCCUUGGGUAGAGAGGCUGUUUCCAAAUAGACCCCCGGCAUCCUUCCCUCCAAGAACUUCCCACCUUGCUCUUGGGGAGACUCGAACUCACAACCUCUCGGUUGGAAGUAGGGGUUGCUUACCAUCCGAGCAACCCCUCUUGUCUGAAAUAUGAUUUAAGAGCAUGCUACCACAUUGCACUUUCAGCUUUCUGUUAAAAAAACAAAGAACUAGAAGAAGAAAUGACAGAUACAUUCAUUUGGAGCCCCCUAUUUUUCUUUUCCCACACCGUGUGGCUCAAAACAGAGACAAAACAAUAGCCACUCUAUAAAUCUGAUAACUACAAACAUUGACAGGGUUUUCCACAACUGAAACUAAAUGUAGAAGGAUAAAAGAUUGAUUUGCAACAACCUUCUUUCACUUUUACCACUUUAAAAUUACCCCAAGUAGAAAAAAGGAAAAGAAGAUCACAACAGAGAUAUGAAAGAUAAGCAGUACAAGAAGGGGGCCAUCCUCACAUUCA
rnacentral:lncRNA from 1 species